rnacentral:misc_RNA from 1 species
GAUGAAGAACGUAGCGAAAUGCGAUACUUGGUGUGAAUUGCAGAAUCCCGUGAACCAUCGAGUGUUUGAACGCAAGUUGCGCCCGAAGCCAUCAGGUUGAGGGCACGUCUGCCUGGGCGUCACAUAUCGUUGCCCGAUGCCUAUUGCAGUGCAAUAGGAAUUUCUAGGGCGAAUGAUGGCUUCCCGUGAGCGUUGUUGCCUCGCGGUUGGUUGAAAAUCGAGUCCUUGGUAGGGUGUGCCAUGGUAGAUGGUGGUCGAGUUAGAACGAUACCGAUCAUGUGCAUGCUCCCCAAAAUAUGGCCUCUAUGACCCACACGCGUCUUUUGACGCUCAUGACGAGACCUCAGGUCAGGCGGGGCUACCCGCUGAAUUUAAGCAUAUCAAUAAGCGGAGGA